ensembl:lncRNA
CUCAGAGCUUCCUGUGAGGACACUGCUGCACGUACUGUAAUAAACCAUGCUGUUUAAUAACACCCUCACUCCAGGACACUGCAGCAUCAAUGGGAGCACACACUGCGUGUCAUUAAAGAAUGUAAAGUCAGACUGUUCUUCAUAAACAGCCCUGAUGUGACACGUCGUAGCUCGUCCAAUGGAGUCAUGAAUACUUUCAGUCAUGAAUCGGUGUUAUAUUAUAUUAGAUGGCACUUCCUGUCCCAGCGCCCUGACCCGGGAACAGACUUGCAGACGUGACGUUCAUCUGUGACAAAUAUUUCUACUUUAUUCACAGAAACACAAAAAACCACCAAGGAGAGAAAAACAGAAAACAUAGGAAACAUUUACAGUAUGAACACAAUCAGCUGAUGGCGUUCUCGUUUUUUGGCCACAUGUUUUUCACCACUUCCUGUGUGUGGUGUUGACACAAUAAAAGCAUCAAAGCCAUACUAUAAUAUUUAUUUUAUGACUGAAACAGCAAAAACACACGAGUGGAAAAACAGCCGCCCAUCUGACAGCCCGUCACGUGACCCGCUGCUGCCACAAGACGAGCGCCUGAAGAAGAAAACAUUUGUACAUCAUCACCUGUCUGAAACCUCUAAGCCGCCUCACCUGUCCCAUCAGGUUCACUCAGGUCUCAGGUGAGUCCACUGAAGAUGAGCUGAUUGGUGGAGGUGGUUCAGGGGCGGGGCCCAGCCUGCUUGUCAUAAUUCAGGUUGUUCAAGUUGUGCUCUCGUGCUGAGACUUCAGCAAGUGUUUAGUGUAGUGUCAGCAUGCUGAUGUCCUACGCCACCUGAACACAGCACCAGCCCCUUUUACUCAUCUUUACAGUUUAAAUUAAAAACACAGUCUUCUCCUCCGGUCAGUGAAGCAGCAGCAGCUCAGAUACGUGACAUCACUGUACACAGAGGCCAUGCCCACUGUAGGACGGCAGGCUCACUGUGCUGCAGUUCCUCUAAUGUCCAGCAGAGGCAGCAGUGAGUCAGCCCCACACACGUUUACAGCCUGAUACACAAACUGUCCGGCCCAUUCAUGACACCUGUUUGCAUUAUUAGGGGCGUGGCUUCUGACUGAAAGGUGGAUGGUGACACAGGCGGCUAUAGCUGCUAGCAGUCUGCUUCACCUGAACUGCACCUCCUGACUGUGUUUGUGCAGUUGGAGCCUUUUGGAGCUCCAGUUGGAGUGAGACGCUAAGCAGGUAUCGCUUUGAUCACUGUUGUCAGGACAAACUUUUAUAAAUAAAAUUACAGUACAGCAGCGGUUUGCUUACUUCACUGACAGGAGAAGAACCCCCCCAUGGUUGCCAUGGCAACACGAACAUCUCUGUUGUCAUAGUAACACCCAGGUUUCGGCCUCAUAUACAGAGCAUCAUCAGUACGUUUCUAUUUACAGGAUAUAAUUGUACACAACAGUCGGGCCACCUUUACAAGGUGAAAAACGUCCCAGCAUGCAACAGAAACCACCCGAUCACCCUCAUCUGUACAUGUGACAAAGGUCCGAUCAGGUGAUCACAAAGCCAGGUCACAUGAUUGACCUAAACCACAGUGACAUUAGUAAAAACUAUACAGAGACGACAUCCUGCCAUUCAGAGUUCAGGGUUCAGACAUCCUCCUCUUCAUCAGCGGCAAGAUGAAAGUGUCCACCAUAAUAAGGAAAGAUGGAGACGAACAGAGCCGAACCGAACCACACUUUGCCCUCGCUGCUUCUUUUGGGCUAUUAUUAACUGUGAGCAAGUAGCUCACAGGUGGGUGAGCGGCAGAAGAGUGGCCCCGCCCCCUAAAGCAAAACUAAAAGCAUAAAAAAAAUAAAUAAAACUAAAACUAAAUAAACUUUAAAAAAAACAAAAAGGAAAAAUAAAUAAUUACUUUGACAAUAUCAGUACUGGGCAUGCUCAAACCCAAUACUGUAACAUUAGCAUUUAGCAAUCAUGCUAUAAACUAAGCCAUCGUCGACUGUUUUCAGAUUAGAAACAAGCUGUUAGCUUCACCUGACUUUAUCUUAGCUACCCUCUGUGGUUAGCUCGACAUAAGAGUACCAUUAGUGUUAGCUUUCUUUACCAGUUAGCCAUGUUAAAAUAGUUUCGGAACACUUUUGAAAUGUCAGUAUCUUUCAAGCUGUGUCAGAUAUAAUAUUAAGUAAUGUAAUCUAACAGUUCAUAAAGUUAGUCUUAUUAUAGUCUUACGCAGAGUUAGCAGAGAGCCUAUUCAAUUUUAGAUUACUGCUUACUCGUUAGCUUAGGCCACUUCCUAGCUGUAGUUCAUGUUAACUCUGAACUCAUCACGAUACUUUUAUAGCUACCUAUUUCAAGCUAGUCUCCCAGCUAGCAGCUAGUUAACAGACUGCUACGCCUCUCUCCCUGCAAACAUGACUAGCAUGAUCGGCGUGAUUGAACACAUUUAUUCUGUUUUAAUAGUGUUAGCCUUAACAGUCAGUUACAUUUUCAGACUGAAGCAAAUCCAGAAUCGUCACGGUUAGCAACGGGUAAUCUGGGAAUAGUUUUAUUUCUAUUAUCAUUUUAAAGUAAGCACACUCAUCUUAGCCAGGUCACAGAUAGCCAUUAACUGUAGCUUACAAUAAGUUUAUCUUUGCCAAUAUUAACUUUAAGCUAUAUUAGCCACAAGAUACAUUAGUGUCAUUUAAACAACAAAACAAAACUGCUGUUAGCUUCCGUUAGCCCUUAGUAGCAUUGCAACUUUAUCUCAGUGUGAGACAGGACAGUUUCAGGUUUUAUUGAUCAAUCAGCUGUUACUGAGAACAUUAAAUACUUAUCUUUUUUUUUUUUUUUUUAUUAAAGUGCUUUUCCCUUUCUCACUUCCUGUUUCUAUGGCAAAUGUUCAUGUUAAACAGGAAAUUCAGUGUGUCUGCAGCUACUGGGAAUUAUGAGUUUUUUUCUAUUCCUUAAUCUGUGUGAUGUCACAGAGAGAAGCUCCACCCAUCUACUGUUCAAGUCUUCUGCUUGUGAGAUGCAGCCAAUCAGAAUAAAGCACGUUUAAAGGUGGAGGAGCUGAACCGGCUUGUGUGAGACAGCGGCUGAGCUGAGGCUCAGGAUGACACGACUCACGCUAAGCCGCUCUGUGAGAGCCAACGUUGGAAUGAGCAGAACGAUCCACCUAACAGAGUUUUAUAGUUUUGAGUCUUCUGUGUUUAACACGGGCUCAAUAAUUACGCAUAUUAGUUUCUAAGCUCCACCCACACAGGUGACCGACUGCAUGUAAAACCAACGUCACACAGAUGUUAAACUGCACGGAUUCACAAGAGAACCUGACAGGUAGAAUAAACCAACUCCCCCUUUGCCUCUGGGUUAUUUUUCUUUGUUCUUACAUCAGAUGAUCAUCUUACCCUCUUUACCUCAGACCCAGGGGUCAAAGGUCAAAGGUGGUAAGCUUUUAUUUUUUCGGCUUGUCACACGUGGAGGAUUUUCUUUGGACCGCUGCUCAAACACAAGCAGAUGUGGCUUCAUGGUGAAGGCACUCAUUAUUAUCACUUGUAACAAUCAGCACACACAGGUGGAGUAGAUUAGCUCUGCCUACACCAGGUGCAGCAUUAAAAUCUGGUCACAUUAUUUGUCCCUUCCUUUCUGGUCUGCUCUGCGGCGCUGUGAGAUGUGAUGAGUGUAGCAGGUCCAGAGCGAAACCUCCACCCGUGAGAGGCUGAUUUCUAACAAACCUUGCAGCGAGAGUAAAGAUCAGUUCAGCUUGGCUCGUCUCCAUCACUGCCCAUCAGCUGCUCCCUCACCUGCAGAGCGACGGCACAGGUGGGAUGGAAGCCCAUUUCUGCCCACAAAUGGAAACACACUCGCUGCAAAUGUCUGAACGUUUUAAUCUACUUUGUAUUUUGGGGGCACUGAGCCUUUAUUAGUCAGCAGAGAGCGGGCAGGAAGUGGCCGUGGGGAAUUGAACCCGCACCUCUGCAGUGCCUGAAGGUCUCACAUAUGAAAUGUUUUUUGUUUUUUUUCCCCCCAUUCAGACAUGACCUAAAAUAUUCGAUUCAUCUUUUACCUUUUUAAAUUCAUGUCAGCCGAGGUCAUUGGGCGGCGCCCCCCCAAAAUGGGCUUCCAUACAUACAGCACUGACCAAUAGGAGCUCAGACCCGUCACUGUGGCGUCAUGUCGGUGCCAGCCCCCUCCUGCAGGCUCUUCGGACACUUUCUGAUGACAUCAUGCGGGCUGAGAGACGCUGAGCUCUGAUUGGCUGGUGACUGGAGGAUGACUGCGCGUGUGCAAUGGGGUGCAAAUAUGGCUAGAUGGUGACAGACGGUCCUGGUGGGAUUGAUGACGUUGUGGCGGUCGCCGCGGUGCUGGAGUGUCGGGGCGGGGCCAGGUCGAGCAGAGCGCCGACAGUCACGGCCACCUGGGGGAGCCCUUGCUCCUCCAGGAUGUGAAGAGGAAGACACAACUGACUCUGCACAGACAAACACCACAGAAGAAGACACAGCGAGGGGCAGGGGGAACGGAUGGAAAACGAAAUCAACAGGUAAAAUAACUGAAACCAUGGCAACGCAAAGAUGAAAACAAGAAGUGGCAAAAAUGAUGGAGGAGGAGGAAACAAGGGGCGGGGCGUGCAGGUGGGAGCAGACAGGUGAGAGAGCUUUGAACAAAAGGCUGUGGACCAAAGACGGGAGCAGAGACAGAAGGAAGCAAGAGGCGGAUGGGAAGUGUAGUGCCACAGUGGCAGAGGUGUCGGUUUUGAGCUGGCUGCCAUCAAACAUGUACAGAUUUAAACUCCAACACGUUUGCACGGUGACGCACCAAUCAGCACACCUUCCCCACAGCUAGGAAUUGUGGGAGUUUAGCAGCACGGAGGUUAAUCGGUCACCUGACUAACAAUAACCUCUGAGUUUAGCUCAGCGAGGCCUGAAAGCAGCGACUGCAGCACAAAUGCGUCAGGAAGCUCAGAUCACACACUCAUGCUUACAGAGAGGGGAGUGCCCCCUGCAGGCACUGCUAUAUCGUCAUCUUCACAACGCGCGUGCUAGAAGCUCUGCUAAGGUGUCCUGGGCCACACCUCCACACCAGUGGACCCACUGCAGUGGCAGGAGCUGGUUCCCACCAGGACACCAGUCCAGCGUCGGUGGUUUGCAGGCGAGUAUCAAAUAUGAGAUUAACGUGCUGACAUCAGUUUACACCUUGACUGUGUUACCUGAUGUCAGGUCUCUGUGAAGAGGAUAAAGCAGCCAUUGCUCUGGCAUCGAUGGAACAAACCAAUCAGGAGGCAACGACCUCCAGGUGACUUUGAAAGACAGACAAGGGAGUCGAGCGGCUUUACUGAACUUUAUUGAUGGAGCUCUAAAGGGAACAGAGCAGAGGCACAUGUCUACAAAACACUCAGACACAUCCUCAUCCUCACUCUUCAUCGUAGAACAGUCCUGUCCUGUGUGAGACCCCGGCUCGCUCUGGCAGGUCGGAGCCACAGGAAACCCACCCAUGUUGAGGCCCUCCCACUGCAGCACUGCAGGAUGCCUCUUUGUUCUUCUUGAGUUUCCACCGUCACAGACAUAAGAGCGAUGGUGAGGCCAUCACAGGUCAGUGUCGUGACCCUGCUGGUGCACCGCAGCCUCUGACCUCCACCCUCACAGGUGAACUGGCUCACUUGACUUUGCUGCAAGUCCCAAUUUGGGCGAGGUCAGCAUCACUUCCUGCCUGCAGGGUUAGCGACAGCAUAGCUAACUCGUUGCGCAGCACUAACUGGCGGUGAGUGUGAAAGAUGUAACGACAGACAUGGCGGUGAAGCCUGUGCUGGGGCGUGUUCACACCUGCAGUUGGUUUUGUCUGUAAGCUCGGAGAGUUCAGUCUGCUCAUUGGCCAGAUGUGUCUGGGGUGGGAACAACAACAGUGAAUACAGGAAGUGUGCGAGGAAACUGGGAAUAGGGGUGUCCAAAUUCAUAGGCUGCGUCCUCCUCAGGACCCGGCCUUCGCGGUCUACGUGGGCCGGGUCCUCAGAAGACCGAGAAGGUCAGAAGUGAGCGACUGUGAAAUGGGACGGUCUAGCCUUCAGAUCUGCGUCACCGCUGUCUCGGUGGAGUUUAAUAAACUCAGCCGUCUGCUCCUUGCUAUCUAAAAUAUAACAGGACACUGGAGUAAACUCUCGACCGUCUCACACGUCUGUUUAUUCAGCUGUGUAAAAACUAUAACUUUAAUCUCAGCCAAACCGAUUUACUCAGGAACAAAUAAAACACUGAAAAAGCCAAACAACAACAUUUUUAAGUUAUCUAACUGACUUAUAUAUCAUGUUUAACCUGAGUAGCCAAAGACCGCGGGGGGCUGAAAACGAUGAUUCGGGAGUCCGCUGCUCUUGCCGGCUCGAGUGACCAUUGAACCCCCCCGCUAGCUAUCGAGCUGGUGGGUAACAGACGUCUCUGAAAAAAGUCGGAGCACUUUUGCAAAUAUGCGAUUUCUUGAUAAACUGAGCAGACAUUUGAAGUUUACACAGCUACAUUCUUCGCCUGAAAAUAUGUUAAAAGUUUAUUUUGUGACCCAGAAAGAAUAAUAAGAGUAAUAUUAAAACUUAGUAGCUUCCGCCAUUGUUGGAAACUGGAAUGCUGGGAUAGGUUAGGCAACGAAGGAGUCACCCAACCCAUCCUUCAAAUCAAGGGAAAUGAAGGACACAUUUGUCUGCUGCAUUCGGUCUAUGAAUUUGGACCGCCCCUUUAGGUUCAUCUCCCAGCUCGCUGCUAGCCACACCGCCCUGUGCACACCUACAGUUCCACAGCCUGCGUGGCUACGGCACAUUUUCUCAGACUGGUAACGUCUAGCUUGGAUCGCGUUCACGCCGUAAACCAACCGCUCUGGAGGUCAUUUGGUGCGACUCGGUGCGGGUGUUUUGGGUUAUACCUGUGUGGUAUCACUGUGUUCACACCUGAACAAGCAAAUUUUGCGCACAGAGAGAGGGGGAAUCGAACCCGAGUGCAAAUGACUAAACAGCGCCGCAAGAGGCGGGGACUUGUAUUUUUACAGUUCCUCUAUCAAACACAGAAGCUGAUCCCACCUGUGACACCAACAAACAAUAAAUAAAAAACUAACCACACCUACCAGCGCCAACCGAGGACUCAACUGACCCACGAUGGGGAAGUGGAGGCCCCAAACCCACCCACAGCAAAAAUCUCCAAAAAAUCUCAGCGAACAGAAACAGGAAGUAACAGUUAGUUCCUGUUUGAAGGAUCCUGUUGCAGCUCUCGCUGCUCCUGCAGGUCUUCACCUCUACAGAAACACUUCGAG